ACGCUCGACACCUACGGGAAGCAGCAGUGAGGAAUAUUGGUCAAUGGGCGCAGGCCUGAACCAGCCAAGUAGCGUGAAGGAUGACUGCCCUAUGGGUUGUAAACUUCUUUUAUAUGGGAAUAAAGUUUUCCACGUGUGGAAUUUUGUAUGUACCAUAUGAAUAAGGAUCGGCUAACUCCGUGCCAGCAGCCGCGGUAAUCUGAGCGGGCUGGCAAGGC
rnacentral:rRNA from 1 species